rnacentral:rRNA from 1 species
UACGGAGGGGACUAGCGUUGUUCGGAAUUACUGGGCGUAAAGCGCACGUAGGCGGAUUUGUAAGUCAGGGGUGAAAUCCCGGGGCUCAACCUCGGAACUGCCUUUGAUACUGCAAAUCUCGAGUCCGGAAGAGGUGAGUGGAAUUCCUAGUGUAGAGGUGAAAUUCGUAGAUAUUAGGAAGAACACCGGUGGCGAAGGCGGCGCUCUGGACCGAGACUGACGCUGAGGCGCGAAAGCGUGGGGAGCAAACAGG